rnacentral:rRNA from 1 species
CCUACGGGUGGCAGCAGUGAGGAAUAUUGGUCAAUGGGCGCGAGCCUGAACCAGCCAAGUAGCGUGAAGGAUGACUGCCCUACGGGUUGUAAACUUCUUUUAUAAAGGAAUAAACUGAGGCCCGUGUGCCUUUUUGUAUGUACUUUAUGAAUAAGGAUCGGCUAACUCCGUGCCAGCAGCCGCGGUAAUACGGAGGAUCCGAGCGUUAUCCGGAUUUAUUGGGUUUAAAGGGAGCGUAGAUGGGUUGUUAAGUCAGUUGUGAAAGUUUGCGGCUCAACCGUACAAGUGCAAUUGAUACUGGCAGCCUUGAGUACAGUGGAGGUAGGCGGAAUUCGUGGUGUAGCGGUGAAAUGCUUAGAGAUCACGAAGAACCCCGAUUGCGAAGGCAGCUUACUAAACUGCGACUGACAUUGAUGCUCGAAAGUGUGGGUAUCAAACAGGAUUAGAUACCCCUGUAGUC